rnacentral:rRNA from 1 species
UGGUUGAUCCUGCCAGAGGUUACUGCUAUCGAGAUUCGACUAAGCCAUGCGAGUCGAAUGUUCUUCGUGAACAUGGCGGACUGCUCAGUAACACGUGGACAACCUACCCUUGGGUCUGGCAUAAUCCUGGGAAACUGGGUAUAAUUCCAGAUAGGUCACAGAUGCUGGAAUGCACUGUGGCCGAAAGCUCCGGCGCCCAAGGAUGGGUCUGCGGCCUAUCAGGGUUGUAGUGGGUGUAACGGACCUACUAGCCUACGACGGGUACGGGUUGUGAGAGCAAGAGCCCGGAGAUGGAUUCUGAGACACGAAUCCAGGCCCUACGGGGUGCAGCAGGCGCGAAAACUUUACAAUGCGGGAAACCGUGAUAAGGGAAUCUCGAGUGCCAGCAUAUAAUGUUGGCUGUCCAGAUGCCUAAAAAGCAUCUGUUAGCAAGGGCCGGGCAAGACCGGUGCCAGCCGCCGCGGUAACACCGGCGGCCCGAGUGGUAACCGCUUUUAUUGGGUCUAAAGGGUCUGUAGCCCGCCAAGUAAGUCCCUGGGAAAAUCUGGCAGCCUUAACUGUCAAGGCUGCUAGGGGGAUACUGCCUAGGUCUUGGGACCGGGAGAGGUGAGAGGUACCUGUGGGGGUAGGGGUGAAAUCUUGUUGAUCCGUCGGGGGACCACCAGUGGGCGAAGGUCGGUCGUCACCAGGAACGGGGUCCGACGGGUAAGGGACGAAAGUCGUAGGGGUCACGAACCGGAUUAGAUACCCGGGUAGGUCCUAGCCGUAAACGAUGUCUCGUCGUAGGUGUCAGUCACGGUGUCGGACCGUGUAUUGGUGGCCGUAGGGAAGCCGUGAAGCCAGCCCACCUGGGAAAGUAAGGCCGCAGGGCUUAAACUUAAAAGGAAUUGGCGGGGGAGCACUACAACGGGUGGAGCCUGCGGGUUUAAAUGGAUUCAACGCCGGAAAUCUCACCGGGGGCGACAGGCGAUAUGAAGGUCAGGCUGAAGACCUUACCCGAUUAGCUGAGAGGUGGUGCAUGGCCGGUCGUCAGUUCGUACUGGUGAAGCAUCCUGUUAAGUCAGGGCAACGAGCGAGACCCACGUCCACAGUUGCCAGCAUACCCUCCGGGGGUGGAUGGGUACACUGUGGAGACCGCCGCUGCUAAAGCGGAGGAAGGGAAUGGGCAACGGUAGGUCAGUAUGCCCCGAAUCUCCCGGGCUACACGGCGGGCUACAAUGGUUGGUACAAUGGGCAUCUACCCCGAAAGGGGAAGGAAAUCUCUUAAAGCCAAUCGUAGUUCGGAUUGAGGGCUGCAACUCGCCCUCAUGAAGCUGGAAUCCGUAGUAAUCGCGUUUCAACAGAACGCGGGUGAAUACGUCCCUGCGUCCUUGCACACACCGCCCGUCAAACCACCCGAGUAGGGUCCGGAUGAGGGUGUAUUAUAUUGAUACAUUCGAAUCUGGGCUUUGCAAGGGGGGUUAAGUCGUAACAAGGUAACC